rnacentral:rRNA from 1 species
AGUGAACGCUGGCGGUAGGCCUAACACAUGCAAGUCGAACGGCAGCACAGUAAGAGCUUGCUCUUACGGGUGGCGAGUGGCGGACGGGUGAGGAAUACAUCGGAAUCUACUUUUUCGUGGGGGAUAACGUAGGGAAACUUACGCUAAUACCGCAUACAACCUACGGGUGAAAGCAGGGGAUCUUCGGACCUUGCGCGAUUGAAUGAGCCGAUGUCGGAUUAGCUAGUUGGCGGGGUAAAGGCCCACCAAGGCGACGAUCCGUAGCUGGUCUGAGAGGAUGAUCAGCCACACUGGAACUGAGACACGGUCCAGACUCCUACGGGAGGCAGCAGUGGGGAAUAUUGGACAACGGGCGCAAGCCUGAUCCAGCCAUACCGCGUGGGUGAAGAAGGCCUUCGGGUUGUAAAGCCCUUUUGUUGGGAAAGAAAAGCAGCAGGUUAAUACCCCGCUGUUCUGACGGUACCCAAAGAAUAAGCACCGGCUAACUUCGUG